GACGAACGCUGGCGGCGUGCUUAACACAUGCAAGUCGAACGGAAAGACCCUGCUUUUGUGGGGUGCUCGAGUGGCGAACGGGUGAGUAACACGUGAGUAACCUGCCCUUGACUUUGGGAUAACUUCAGGAAACUGGGGCUAAUACCGGAUAGGAGCUCCUGCUGCAUGGUGGGGGUUGGAAAGUUUCGGCGGUUGGGGAUGGACUCGCGGCUUAUCAGUUUGUUGGUGGGGUAGUGGCUUACCAAGGCUUUGACGGGUAGCCGGCCUGAGAGGGUGACCGGCCACAUUGGGACUGAGAUACGGCCCAGACUACUACGGGAGGCAGCAGUGGGGAAUAUUGCACAAUGGGCGGAAGCCUGAUGCAGCAACGCCGCGUGCGGGAUGACGGCCUUCGGGUUGUAAACCGCUUUCGCCUGUGACGAAGCGUGAGUGACGGUAAUGUGUAAAGAAGCACCGGCUAACUACGUG
rnacentral:rRNA from 1 species